rnacentral:misc_RNA from 1 species
CCAAUAGCGUAUAUUAAAGUUGCUGCGGUUAAAAAGCUCGUAGUUGAAUUUCGGAAUUGAUGCAUCGGUCGUGCCUUAAGGGGCAUGAACUGGUGUAGCCAAUUUCUCACCUUCUGGUGAAUUGUUGAUGUUCUUAAUGGGUGUCUCAAUGAACUAGAAUUUUUUACUUUGAAAAAAUUAGAGUGUUUAAAGCAGGCAUUAAUUUGCUUGAAUACAUUAGCAUGGAAUAAUGAAAUAGGACAGUGGUUCCGUUUUGUUGGUUUCUAGGAUCACGUAAUGAUUAAUAGGGACAGUUGGGGGCAUUAGUAUUCAAUUGUCAGAGGUGAAAUUCUUGGAUUUAUUGAAGACUAACUAUUGCGAAAGCAUUUGCCAAGGAUGUUUUCAUUAAUCAAGAACGAAAGUUAGGGGAUCAAAGACGAUUAAGUACGUCGUAGUCCUAACCAUAAACUAUGCCGACUAGGGAUCGGAUGAUGUUAAUUUUUUAAUGACUCAUUCGGCGCCUUACG